UGGCCCAGAUGGAGAGAGACAGACGGAGGGGACGGAUGCCAGCCGCAAGAGGGACACUCGAUCCUCAGCCGGCCACCACAAGAGUGAGGACACCAGCGACAGCAGGGAGGACGAGGCAGCAGAUGAUGAGCCAAUCACAGGACGGGCUGAUGGAAGAGGCCACACCCGCAUCCGGAAGUUCCUCAGCCAGCGGCACAAGAAAUUGCCAUGGAAACCAGAGUUUAAGGGCCAGGCCAACCUGCACGUGUUUGAGGACUGGUGUGGAUCCUCCAUAGCUCAACUGAGAAAGAACCUGCACUUCCCUGUCUACCCUCAUACCAGAACCACAGUGAAGAAGCUGGCGGUGGCUCCCAAGUGGAAGAACUAUGGCCUGAGAAUAUUUGGCUUCCUUCACCCUUACAGAGACGGUGAUUUCCAGUUCUCGGUAUCGUCGGAUGAUAACUCUGAGCUCUGGCUGAGUCCUGAUGAGAGCCCUCUCAAUGCCAGAC